rnacentral:piRNA from 1 species
UACUUGAAUCUGCACCAGGACACGUC